rnacentral:rRNA from 1 species
AGAGUUUGAUCAUGGCUCAGGAUGAACGCUAGCUACAGGCUUAACACAUGCAAGUCGAGGGGCAGCAUUUCAGUUUGCUUGCAAACUGGAGAUGGCGACCGGCGCACGGGUGAGUAACACGUAUCCAACCUGCCGAUAACUCGGGGAUAGCCUUUCGAAAGAAAGAUUAAUACCCGAUGGUAUAAUCAGACCGCAUGGUCUUGUUAUUAAAGAAUUUCGGUUAUCGAUGGGGAUGCGUUCCAUUAGGCAGUUGGUGAGGUAACGGCUCACCAAACCUUCGAUGGAUAGGGGUUCUGGGAGGAAGGUCCCCCACAUUGGAACUGAGACACGGUCCAAACUCUUACGGGAGGCAGCA